rnacentral:piRNA from 1 species
UGGAAUUGUGGAUGGAAGCUUUGCUGCAGC